rnacentral:rRNA from 1 species
AGUGAACGCUGGCUGUAGGCCUAACACAUGCAAGUCGAACGGCAACACAGUAAGAGCUUGCUCUUACGGGUGGCGAGUGGCGGACGGGUGAGGAAUACAUCGGAAUCUACUUUUUCGUUGGGGGUAACGUAGGGAAACUUACGCUAAUACCGCAUUCGAACUGCGGGUGAAAGCAGGAGGUCUUCGAACCUUUCGCGCUUGCAGGAGCGGGUGUCGGAUUAGCUAGUUGGCGGGGGAAAGGCCGACCAACGCGAAGAUCCGUAGCUGGUCUGAGAGGAUGAUCAGCCACACUGGAACUGAGACACGGUCCAGACUCAUACGGGAGGCAGCAGUGGGGAAUAUUGGACUAUGGGCGCGAGCGUGAUCCAGCCAUACCGCGUGGGUGAAGAAGGUCAUCGGGUUGUAAAGCGCUUUUGUUGGGAAAGAAAAGCAGCAGGUUAAUACCCCGCUGUCCUGACGGUACCCAAAGAAUAAGCACCGGCUAAAUUCGUGC